UUCCCACCCCUCUCGGCGGACGGGGUUCGAAAGAGGCUGGAGCGCGAGCCGUGGAACGUUGGCCGGCGCGGGACUUGGCGGAGCGGAGCUCGGGCUGCUGCGGGGGAAGGAUGCCCGGGGGCUCCAGUGGCGGGGGCGGGGUCCUGUUUAUGGCGAGGGAAGCUGCACUACAAGGAGAGCGUGCGGGGGAGAGGGCGACACAGGGUGGGGGAAACAGGCCCCUUCUUAGUGGGAGGCUGUGGGGAGAAGGUGACGGGCAGCUUUUACUGGGAGAUUGCAGUGGUGCCAGGGACCCGCUGCUGAACGGCUGCGGUAAAGCGCUUGUGAUUGGAAAGCCGGGGUGGAGCAGAGGGAAGACUCCAAAAUACCUUUUAACUGGGAGAGCUUGGAAGGGAGGAGGAAACGGAUGCGGAGCAUGUUUGGUUAAGAGGCAGUGGUGGUGGUGGGGGGGAUAUCGUUAGUGGAGAUGGGAGGAAAAGAAGGGCGAGGCAGGUCCCGCCCACCUUUCCUUGGUGGGCUAUGGCUGACAGUAGCCAUAUGCUACUGGGUGGAGAAAUGGGACUUUCCUGGGAGGCUACAAAAGUGGGGAGGGGGAGGCAUUUUGAGGGGAGAAUGAAGAUUAACGUGCCUGGACUGGGUUAGGAAACUGCAGUAAGAAAUAGAAUUUACCUAAAUUAUCCUAUGGUCUAAAGGGACCUCUUGCUUUCCAUCUAGUUAUUGGGAGCCUGCUUAGCUUUUCAGUGAGUGUCACCUCAGGACAGUGUGUCUGGUUUAUAUAAAACUUACUCAGUAUGUCUCCAAGGUAUUCUAAGGUCACUCCCCUUCUCCCCCUCCCCCCUCCGUAAUGCUGCAAAAUCCCUGCUGCUGCACUGGAUUAGUUUGAAGGGAUGAAAGUCCUAGGCAGCAACAGCAGGACUAGUAAAAUAACACACAUCAUAAUCCUAUAGCGCGAUAGAUUUUUUUUUUUUAAACCUCCCUGGUUUUGCCGGUGCCAAGGUGUGCUGCAAAGAGGAGGAUUUGCUUGCCAUUACAAUUUGUAAUGUUUGAUCAAGGUCUCACCUACUGUGUUUUUCUUGGAAGACCCAUUGCAUUACCGGUAACAAGCAAGUACAAUCUGAUUAACUGAUAUACAAGUGAUUUCUCUCAAUCUGUUUAAUUUUUUAUUGGUUUUAAUAGUGGUUUUUAUUCAACUCAAGUGCCUAAGAAAUUCUUAAGAAAAAACACUUUUGUCAAAGAUCCAGUAUCCUGCCUCUUCAGUUAAGGACUGUAAAAGCUCCUAUUCCACAUCUCUGCAUCCUCCAAGGAGACAUCCAACAAAAUCAGGCUUGACAUUCCUGAUAUUUCUAAGUUAACAAGAAGCAAAACAUUUUUGAAACCAACAUAUCAGGCCUUUUUUUGUACAAUAUAAAUUAUCAAAAACCCCUUUUCCACCUUCAGAACGCUUUUUAGGCAGAUGUUUCAGUUUGGCUCAAGGUGUCGUGUUUCCUGCUAGUGGCUGUUCGACAUAACAGAUAAGAGCAUGCUAUUGCUGUUUCUCUUUCAGCUCAGUUAGUAGAGAUUUGGACUGUUGUUGCUGAAGAUCCUUGGUUGUGUUCUCACAAUCUGUUUUGGGGGAAGUUACACAAGAAGGCACCCAUUGUGGUCCUGGAAUCCUGCCCUUCUUAUCCCACUGUGCUUCACCACCUCAGUACUGUGUUGACUGACUUGCUAUAAAUACUUAAAGUAGAUUGUUUUACAUAAAUGAUUUAUUAAACACUGAUACUGUGACAGUGUAGUCAAUAUCACACAGUUGGUUUGAACUGCUAUUGACAUCAGUGGCUGCCACUGAAUUUGAUCAGGGGGUCCUAUGGAUGCCUUAACUUGAUAGUGAGCUUAGACCUAGCUACCAUCAAAUUAUUCGGCUUUGGAGGUGUUUGAAAAGUGACAAAAAUGGCAUUGUGGAGUCCCAUGUUUGUGUCUUAUUGAUUUCUAGAUCAAAUCUGUUUAUCAUAAGCUAUUUUUAGGUCUUCCAAUUAUGCAGAAAUCUGAAAAUGAAGUUGAGUUUCUUCUUCAGCAAGAUCAGUAUGUUCUACACAGGGUUUCAACUGUUGCUUGCAACCUUGGUGGCAGAAUCAGAUCUGUCAAUCAUAUCACAAUAUGACCUUUAAAUGGCACUAGUCUCUUGAAAGACAACAUACAAAAGGAGAAAACCCUUAUGCUCUUUGGAGUCUUCUGUACCUAAUAAUUCCAGGCACAGUAGCUUUGAGAGAAAAAAAGAGAGCUUGCCAAAUACAGUAAGCAAUGUGAGUCUUAAGUCCUCUUUGUCGAAAAGACAGCUUUCUGAAUGGGAGUCUGAGGGAGGCAGAUGCAAGAUGACCUAUUUGCUCUAGGCUGUUUUGAGACAAUGCUUACAUAGUGCUUUCAGUCCCCAGAGCAAGAGACGAAAACAAGAAAAUAUUUUCUCUUUGGGUCAAAACUAGGUCCAGACACUCCUCUCUACUCGAUACUGGAGAAUUCAACCCGAUCUAAAUGGGAAUUUCCCACAAAAUCUAAGUGCUUGAGUAGGCAGGCAACAUAUUUUUAUAAUGUAAAGCAAAACAAAUAUUAUCUGGUUAGCUUUAAGGCAGAUGUAGUUCUUUCUUCCAUAGUGAAAUAGGAUCAUUCCCACAUAGGACAGUUUUAUACCCAAAGAUCCUAUUUAGAAGUGAGUGGAUUCUUCACUAAGCAGGAACUUCAAUGGUACCUCUACAGCCAAUUGAUGCUUGAGGGCAGCCCUGGCAUGGACAGAAUCUGUUUUAAAGACCCGAGAAAAAGAUCUGUAGUCUCUUUACAAAAGAGAAUUAUUCAUAGCUGACAUCUAUGGAAGUGCUUCAUUUAAUUUUUCAGCCUGAGUCAUUUCUUCUGAUGUGUCUUUGAACUUGGAAGGCAGAUAGGUGAAAUAUUUACUGGUGGCCUUAAAGUUCUCCUGAGGAAAGAUUUUUCCAGUGAGCCAAUGGAUAGGGUCAUAGUAUAUAUAGCAGCACAGUGAGAUGAGCUACAAACCCAAGCAGUCAUUUUCUGGUUUCUCCUACAAUAUAAAACUGGUAUAACCAGUACAGGAGAGGCAGAAAGUACAUGGGCUGAAUUUAUGUGAUAACUCACCAGCCUGCAAACAAAGGGCAUGAUGCCAGAUUUUCCUAGCCAUAAAAGGAACCUUGUAUCCAGGGUAAUCUGUGAUUGUUUGUGAACAGAUGGCUGAUUACCACUUCAUACAAAUGACUUCUGGAUACCUAUUCCCCAAAUGUUGCAUAUUUUCCCCCAAAUUAUACCUGCCCAAAAUGAAUGGGUUUUCUAGACCUAAAAUAGAUAUAACUUUAAAGUCUGACAUCUCAAGCUCCUGUAAGGCUAGAGACAAGAACUUUAUAUAACUGGAAAAGGUGGUUUUCCAGAUUCCCACUGGGGUACAACAUUCACGUCUAACCCUGGGAGGUCCCAAAACACCAGAUAUGAAAAUUGUGACUUUUUAUGCAUAGAAAAACUAUUUUUGGUCAUUUUUAGAGGUUUAUAAUGGCUUCCUCUCUGUUCUAUAUAGCUGGAUUCAUUAUAACUAAGGCAACUAGUAUUAAAGGUAUAGGGUUUAAGAAAUAAAGCACUAACUUUUUUUUAAAACUCUAAAAUAUUCCUAUAGUAGUUUUUCUGUAAUGUGACAUACAGAAUACAUGAUGGCAUGCUGUGGGAUAAGUGUUUUAAUAGCACUUGUGUGGGGUGGCCAGCAUCAUUCACCUGUGAGUAACACUAAUAUCCCAAACUCAUCUGGUAAAGCCUUUAUACCUCACCAUUCAUGAGUAAUACAUUUUUGUUUCGUGUUUGGGAGGAUAGAACUUUGCUAGGCAACAAGCAGAGACAAUUUCUUUUUCAAGGUUAAUAGUUUAAAACCCCCUUUAGGCAGCCAUCUUUGUACACAGGCUUCUAUAACUUCAAAAUUUUCUUCAGUUACUUUAAGAUCUCGUUUGAGUUUGUUGUCUAGACUGUAUGUAUAACCUCACUGUAUGUUUUGUCCCUGAUGUCCUUCUGUCUUGAGGAAUCAAGAAAGGAUAAGGUAGAACUACAUUUUCAGAGAGGCAACUAUUCAGACUUCAAAAGGGGAGAAAGAAAGACCUUUGAGGACAUGAAAUUCUCCAUUUGGGCUUUAUCUACACACAAACUUGCUGAGGACUACAGAAAGAAUAGCAUGGUCUCAUAGUUAAGACAGGUGAAAGUUGCCCUGGAGACUACAGCCUCUUUCACUUUACAACCCAGGUUCCUCUCCGGAGCAGGGCCUUCUUUGCAGUGAAUGAGCAGAGAUCCUGAGGGAAAAAAUAGUAUUAAAACACAGUUGAUGCUGAUGCAGUUCCUCAGUGUCAGAAGCUAAGUUGAGAGGCCAGCUGCUUCUGAGGACAUUGUCUGCUACUAUCAAGAUAUUCAGAGAACUGUUCAGGAGGGGCAUCUCAUGAUUCAUUGUUCCACAUGCUUCAGGUGAAGAGGUCAUGCUAAAUCAGAAAUGAUGGAGAGACUGGACCUCAUUUAUACUCAAGAUGGCUGAAUUAAUACUAUUGAAAUUGUGUGGAGGAAUGCAAUAUGAACAGACAGGUUUAUGAUAGGAACUUAGAUUGGGCUCCCUGGAGAACUGCAUCUUCCUAGCUGCAAUGCCAACACUCCUCUGAUCAACCUGCACAGUGCAUCAUGGGAGUCUCGUGGCUGCAGAUGCAUCAUGGGAGAUAUAGUAGGGCCAGGGGGCUCUGCCCACAGGUGAGAAUGUGGGCAUCAGACUCCCAAACUACAACUCUCAAGAGAUGGGGAAACCGUGGAACAAAGAGAGUAAGUGGUUUACCAGCGUUCACAAAGCAAGUUUACAGAAGAGCUGACACUAGAACUUAAACCUCCAGACCGCUCAUUCUAUGCUUAGCACUAAAAUGAACAGGAACAGCUUGGGCAGUAGUGGUGCCAACUUUUCCAUGUCACCUUGCCAGUGAUCUUCAAAUCUGACCUGGAGCCACCGCCACCUGUAAGGCUGUUGUAAUCAGACCUUGAUAAGAAUUGCUGCCAGAGACAUCCAAUCAGCCCCAUGUUAUCAUCUGGAAAUGAUUAGAGCCUUCAAGGCAGAUUGAAGCCAUUUUGAUAGCAUUGAUUAGUUCCUUAUUUUAAGUUGUGCCAUUUCACCGGAGAACAACAAAACAACAACAAAAUUGACAUGGAUGGAUUAAGGCAGCUAUUGGCAGAUAUCCGGGUCCUGUGAUCAAAAAGGACCUCUGAAUUUGGGAGCAAGACUCCAAGGAUCCAUCACAAGCAGUCUGGGAACAGCAGCUGACAUUGUGAGUCAGUUCCACUGAUGAGAAAAUGGGUUGGCCCUUGUCUCUCUCUGCCUGAGAACAGGCCCAAGGCCCUGAACACUGAUCAGCAAGCUGAGCUGAAAGACACCGUAGAGCUUUGUCAUUGCUGGGCCCUCUCCCACACUUCCUGGAAGGCAUAACAAGGAGCUGCUGCUUUGAUUCAGGAGCAGAAAGGAGAUGCCGAAAUACUCUCCACUCAAGUGGGAAGUAAAGGUGCCUCUGUAACCCUUCAACACCACCACCACUACUUGAGGGGGAGAAGCCCCUGCACCAACAAAUGAAGAUGGAUACAGACUUUCAUAGGAGCUGUGAGAGCCUGAUGGCUCUCCUGGCAACCGCAGCAGUGAAAGGAGCCAAACGUGGGACCACCUGGCAGCCCCACGACAGCAGCUCCUCCAGCGCGGCUGCUGUACUGCCCUUAGCCUCCCACCCCCGCACACACACUCCCCCCAGCCCUGUCCUCCGGCAAGGCAGCAGUACCUCCGGCCCGGCCCCAAGCCCUGCGACCCUGGCCGGAGCUCUGGCUGGAGCGCAGCCCAAUUCCUGAGCUCUUUAAAGCUGGCCCUGGUCAGGGGAUGGGGGGAGGGAGUUGGGGGUUCUGAGGGGGGCAG